rnacentral:rRNA from 1 species
GAAACCAACAGGGAUUGCCUCAGUAACGGCGAGUGAAGCGGCAAAAGCUCAAAUUUGAAACCCUCGGGAUUGUAAUUUGAAGAUUUGGCAUUGGAGAAAGCUAACCCAAGUUGCUUGGAAUAGUACGUCAUAGAGGGUGACAACCCCGUCUGGCUAACCGUUCUCCAUGUAUUGCCUUAUCAAAGAGUCGAGUUGUUUGGGAAUGCAGCUCAAAGUGGGUGGUAAACUCCAUCUAAAGCUAAAUACUGGUGAGAGACCGAUAGCGAACAAGUACUGUGAAGGAAAGGUGAAAAGAACUUUGAAAAGAGAGUGAAAUAGUAUGUGAAAUUGUUGAUAGGGAAGGAAAUGAGUGGAGAGUGGCCGAGGUUUCAGCCGCCCCUCGUGGGCGGUGUACUGCCGACGCCGAGUCAUCGAUAGCGAGACGAGGGUUACAAAUGGGAGCGCCUUCGGGCGUUCUCCCCUAACCCUCCACACUGCCACCGACG